GUCUGGCCCAAAUACCCUGAAGGCACCAGAUCCUAUGAGAUUUUGGAAGACAACCAAGUUAAACCCUGAUUAGUGCUUGGAUGGGAGACCACCAAUGAAUAUCAGGAGCUGUAGGCU
rnacentral:rRNA from 1 species